UUUGGGUCCACAACCUUGUAAAGAAUCAGGCUCAACAGCCGCUGUAUUUCACAUUUUGGGAUCUCUUGACGCAUGUAAACCUCAGCUAGCACACUGAAGUAGCCAUCGGCAAUAGCAGCAUCAGAGUAAUAGCACUGCACACAUUCUUAUUUAUUAGUUCACAAAUAAAUAAUUCAUAGGAUGCAUCAGGAAAGGCAAUUCCAAAGUGGAAUUGGAAAUUUAUCUAGCUUGCUUGAUAGAACUUUGCGUGGAAUGUCAUUAUAAAUUCUAUGUCAGUAUUUUAUUUCCCUUGUAGUGGAAA
rnacentral:lncRNA from 1 species